rnacentral:rRNA from 1 species
AUUGAACGCUGGCGGCAUGCUUUACACAUGCAAGUCGAGCGGCAGCGCGGGGGCAACCCUGGCGGCGAGCGGCGAACGGGUGAGGAAUACAUCGGAACGUACCCGAGAGUGGGGGAUAACGCCGCGAAAGCGGCGCUAAUACCGCAUAUUCUCCGAGGAGGAAAGUGGGGGACCGCAAGGCCUCACGCUCACGGAGCGACCGAUGUCGGAUUAGCUAGUUGGUGGGGUAAAGGCCCACCAAGGCGACGAUCCGUAGCUGGUCUGAGAGGAUGAUCAGCCACACUGGGACUGAGACACGGACCAGACUCCUACGGGAGGCAGCAGUGAGGAAUAUUGGUCAAUGGGCGGAAGCCUGAACCAGCCAUCCCGCGUGAAGGAAGACAGCCUUACGGGUUGUAAACUUCUUUUCUGUCAGAAGAAUAAGCUUGUCGAGACGAGUGAUGCCGGUAUGACAGGAAUAAGCAUCGGCUAACUCCGUGCCAGCAGCCG